rfam:Purpureocillium lilacinum isolate PLFJ-1 scaffold00005, whole genome shotgun sequence.
GGCAACGUGCCAGAGUGGUUAAUGGGAUAGCCUCGAAAUCUCGCAAGCUAUUGACUUCGGUCGCACAGGUUCGAAUCCUGUCGUUGUCG